GUGCUAUACAUGCAAGUUGAGCGCUGAAGGUUGGUACUUGUACCGACUGGAUGAGCAGCGAACGGGUGAGUAACGCGUGGGGAAUCUGCCUUUGAGCGGGGGACAACAUUUGGAAACGAAUGCUAAUACCGCAUAAAAACUUUAAACACAAGUUUUAAGUUUGAAAGAUGCAAUUGCAUCACUCAAAGAUGAUCCCGCGUUGUAUUAGCUAGUUGGUGAGGUAAAGGCUCACCAAGGCGAUGAUACAUAGCCGACCUGAGAGGGUGAUCGGCCACAUUGGGACUGAGACACGGCCCAAACUCCUACGGGAGGCAGCAGUAGGGAAUCUUCGGCAAUGGACGAAAGUCUGACCGAGCAACGCCGCGUGAGUGAAGAAGGUUUUCGGAUCGUAAAACUCUGUUGGUAGAGAAGAACGUUGGUGAGAGUGGAAAGCUCAUCAAGUGACGGUAACUACCCAGAAAGGGACGGCUAACUACGUGCCAGCAGCCGCGGUAAUACGUAGGUCCCGAGCGUUGUCCGGAUUUAUUGGGCGUAAAGCGAGCGCAGGUGGUUUAUUAAGUCUGGUGUAAAAGGCAGUGGCUCAACCAUUGUAUGCAUUGGAAACUGGUAGACUUGAGUGCAGGAGAGGAGAGUGGAAUUCCAUGUGUAGCGGUGAAAUGCGUAGAUAUAUGGAGGAACACCGGUGGCGAAAGCGGCUCUCUGGCCUGUAACUGACACUGAGGCUCGAAAGCGUGGGGAGCAAACAGGAUUAGAUACCCUGGUAGUCCACGCCGUAAACGAUGAGUGCUAGAUGUAGGGAGCUAUAAGUUCUCUGUAUCGCAGCUAACGCAAUAAGCACUCCGCCUGGGGAGUACGACCGCAAGGUUGAAACUCAAGGAAUUGACGGGGGCCCGCACAAGCGGUGGAGCAUG
rnacentral:rRNA from 2 species